UGCAUCGUAAACAUCUCCAAAGAGCUGGCGUCGUGCUGGAAACCAGGAGGCUAGCUAGCUCUUUCCAAAAAGGCAUAUGAUAAACAGCCAGCUAGCUAGGUUUUGGUCCUAUCUAGUCACCAUCCAUCUACACCGGCGUUUCAAAUCCCCUUUUUCAGUAUAAUAUGGUGAUUUCAUCAAGCAAAAACGGACAGGUACGGCCUAUCAGCUAAAUUCACAGGUAACGCUAUUGCUGUUUCACUGCUUCCGAGCACUGACCCAGAUUAUCUACUGGGAAGAUGGAGAGACCUGUAUCUACUGGGAAGAUGGAGGAGUAGAGACCUGUGUCUACUGGGAAGAUGGAGGAGUAGAGACCUGUGUCUACUGGGAAGAUGGAGGAGUAGAGACCUGUGUCUACUGGGAAGAUGGAGGAGUAGAGACCUGUGUCUACUGGGAAGAUGGAGGAGUAGAGACCUGUGUCUACUGGGAAGAUGGAGGAGUAGAGACCUGUGUCUACUGGGAAGAUGGAGGAGGAGUAGAGACCUGUGUCUCCUGGGAAGAUGGAGGAGGAGUAGAGACCUGUGUCUCCUGGGAAGAUGGAGGAGGAGGAGUAGAGACCUGUGUCUCCUGGGAAGAUGGAGGAGGAGGAGUAGAGACCUGUGUCUCCUGGGAAGAUGGAGGAGGAGGAGUAGAGACCUGUGUCUCCUGGGAAGAUGGAGGAGGAGGAGUAGAGACCUGUGUCUCCUGGGAAGAUGGAGGAGGAGGAGUAGAGACCUGCGUCUCCUGGGAAGACGGAGGAGCAGAGACCUGCGUCUCCUGGGAAGACGGAGGAGCAGAGACCUGCGUCUCCUGGGAAGACGGAGGAGCAGAGACCUGCGUCUCCUGGGAAGACGGAGAAGCAGAGACCUGCGUCUCCUGGGAAGACGGAGGCUGUACAUUUUGAUACGUAUCACAUUAACACCGUUAUGCUGUAGUUUUGGUGUGCAACAUUGUUGCGGUGGAAGGGGUUGCAACGCUGUGAGAACUGCUGUAGUUUUGGUGUGCAACAUUGUUGCGGUGGAAGGGGUUGCAACGCUGUGA
rnacentral:lncRNA from 1 species